UACGUAGGCGGAAAAUUAAGUCAGUAGUGAAAUCCUGCAGCUUAACUGUAGAACUGUUAUUGAUACUGGUUUUCUUGAAUUUAGUUGAGGUAGGCGGAAUGUGUAAUGUAGUGGUGAAAUGCUUAGAUAUUACACAGAACACCGAUUGCGAAGGCAGCUUACUAAACUAUGAUUGACGCUGAGGUACGAAAGCGUGGGGAGCGAACAGGAUUAGAUACCCUGGUAGUCC
rnacentral:rRNA from 1 species